GAUGAACGCUGGCGGCGUGCCUAAUACAUGCAAGUCGAGCGGACGGACGCGACGCUUGCUUCUCGCAUGUUAGCGGCGGGCGUGUGAGUAACACGUGUAUCACCUACCUGUCAUACUGAUAUCAUUUCGGAACACCGUCUCUUAUCCCAUAUGAUAUCUUGAACCACGGUGUUCGAUGGUAAGAUACGGUCUUUGUGUCUCUUCUAGCUGGUUCCGCGCUGCAUUAGCUAGUUGGUAAGGUAACGGCUUACCAAGGGAACCAUGCCUGAACGACCUGACAGAGUGAUCGCCCACAUUGGAACGGAGACACGGUCCAUACGCCUACGAGAGGCAGCAGUAGGGAAUGGGCCGCAAUGGGCGAAAGCAUGACGGAGCGACGCCGCGCGAGAGAUGAAGGCCUUCGGAUCGUAAAACUGUGUUAUGAGUGAAGAACAGAUGUGUAAGGAAACGUGGACAUAGUGACGGUAACGAAUAAGAAAGCCACGGCUAACUACGUG
rnacentral:rRNA from 1 species